GACGAACGCUGGCGGCGUGCUUAACACAUGCAAGUCGAACGGAAAGGCCCUGCUUUUGUGGGGUGCUCGAGUGGCGAACGGGUGAGUAACACGUGAGUAACCUGCCCUUGACUUUGGGAUAACUUCAGGAAACUGGGGCUAAUACCGGAUAGGAGCUCCUGCUGCAUGGUGGGGGUUGGAAAGUUUCGGCGGUUGGGGAUGGACUCGCGGCUUAUCAGCUUGUUGGUGGGGUAGUGGCUUACCAAGGCUUUGACGGGUAGCCGGCCUGAGAGGGUGACCGGCCACAUUGGGACUGAGAUACGGCCCAGACUCCUACGGGAGGCAGCAGUGGGGAAUAUUGCACAAUGGGCGGAAGCCUGAUGCAGCAACGCCGCGUGCGGGAUGACGGCCUUCGGGUUGUAAACCGCCUUCGCCUGUGACGAAGCGUGAGUGACGGUAAUGGGCAAAGAAGCACCGGCUAACUACGUG
rnacentral:rRNA from 1 species